rnacentral:rRNA from 1 species
GAUGAACGCUGGCGGCGUGCCUAAUACAUGCAAGUCGAGCGAACAGACGAGGAGCUUGCUCCUCUGACGUUAGCGGCGGACGGGUGAGUAACACGUGGAUAACCUACCUAUAAGACUGGGAUAACUUCGGGAAACCGGAGCUAAUACCGGAUAAUAUAUUGAACCGCAUGGUUCAAUAGUGAAAGACGGUUUUGCUGUCACUUAUAGAUGGAUCCGCGCCGCAUUAGCUAGUUGGUAAGGUAACGGCUUACCAAGGCAACGAUGCGUAGCCGACCUGAGAGGGUGAUCGGCCACACUGGAACUAGGACACGGUCCAGACUCCUACGGGAGGCAGCAGUAGGGAAUCUUCCGCAAUGGGCGAAAGCCUGACGGAGCAACACCGCGUGAUUGAUGAAGGUCUUCGGAUCGUAAAUCUCUGUUAUUAGGGAAGAACAAAUGUGUAAGUAACUGUACGCGUCUUGACGGUACCUAAUCAGAAAGCCACGGCUAACUACGUG